AGGGUCUGAACCUGCAACACACUACUGGCUUCCCCAGCUCCAACGUUCUAACCUGUUAACCAGCCUUGUUGAAGGGUCAAUGGAAGGUGGUUUCCUUCACACCAAGCAGCAGGAUGUAAAUGUUUGUUUAAGCAGCUGAGACUUGGCCCUGCUUAAUGCCACAGAUCACAUGAGAUGAGUUCAUUCAGAGUGUGGGGAUCGCGGUGAGGGUUAGAGUCAUGACAUGAAGUUUAGAGAUGUGGGAGUUUUGGAGGAACUAAAAACAGACGCACUCGUGACUGAAGAGAACGGUGAAAAUAUGAACGAGGGAACAAAAACGCCCAGAAUUCAAGACACUUAGAAGCUCCUUAAAGACAGAAACCUCAUCGUAUCUGCUGUGGGGGGAAGCUGGUUUGUGACUGAAUUAAUCAUGAAG
rnacentral:lncRNA from 1 species